GAUGAACGCUGGCGGCGUGCCUAAUACAUGCAAGUCGAGCGAACGGACGAGAAGCUUGCUUCUCUGAUGUUAGCGGCGGACGGGUGAGUAACACGUGGAGAACCUACCUAUAAGACUGGGAUAACUUCGGGGAACCGGAGCUAAUACCGGAUAAUAUUUUGAACCGCAUGGUUCAAAAGUGAAAGACGGUCUUGCUGUCACUUAUAGAUGGAUCCGCGCUGCAUUAGCUAGUUGGUAAGGUAACGGCUUACCAAGGCAACGAUGCAUAGCCGACCUGAGAGGGUGAUCGGCCACACUGGAACUGAGACACGGUCCAGACUCCUACGGGAGGCAGCAGUAGGGAAUCUUCCGCAAUGGGCGAAAGCCUGACGGAGCAACGCCGCGUGAGUGAUGAAGGUCUUCGGAUCGUAAAACUCUGUUAUUAGGGAAGAACAUAUGUGUAAGUAACUGUGCACAUCUUGACGGUACCUAAUCAGAAAGCCACGGCUAACUACGUGCCAGCAGCCGCGGUAAUACGUAGGUGGCAAGCGUUAUCCGGAAUUAUUGGGCGUAAAGCGCGCGUAGGCGGUUUUUUAAGUCUGAUGUGAAAGCCCACGGCUCAACCGUGGAGGGUCAUUGGAAACUGGAAAACUUGAGUGCAGAAGAGGAAAGUGGAAUUCCAUGUGUAGCGGUGAAAUGCGCAGAGAUAUGGAGGAACACCAGUGGCGAAGGCGACUUUCUGGUCUGUAACUGACGCUGAUGUGCGAAAGCGUGGGGAUCAAACAGGAUUAGAUACCCUGGUAGUCCACGCCGUAAACGAUGAGUGCUAAGUGUCAGGGGGUUUCCGCCCCUUAGUGCUGCAGCUAACGCAUUAAGCACUCCGCCUGGGGAGUACGACCGCAAGGUUGAAACUCAAAGGAAUUGACGGGGACCCGCACAAGCGGUGGAGCAUGUGGUUUAAUUCGAAGCAACGCGAAGAACCUUACCAAAUCUUGACAUCCUUUGACAACUCUAGAGAUAGAGCUUUCCCCUUCGGGGGACAAAGUGACAGGUGGUGCAUGGUUGUCGUCAGCUCGUGUCGUGAGAUGUUGGGUUAAGUCCCGCAACGAGCGCAACCCUUAAGCUUAGUUGCCAUCAUUAAGUUGGGCACUCUAAGUUGACUGCCGGUGACAAACCGGAGGAAGGUGGGGAUGACGUCAAAUCAUCAUGCCCCUUAUGAUUUGGGCUACACACGUGCUACAAUGGACAAUACAAAGGGCAGCGAAACCGCGAGGUCAAGCAAAUCCCAUAAAGUUGUUCUCAGUUCGGAUUGUAGUCUGCAACCCGACUACAUGAAGCUGGAAUCGCUAGUAAUCGUAGAUCAGCAUGCUACGGUGAAUACGUUCCCGGGUCU
rnacentral:rRNA from 1 species